UGUUAGAACAGGUGUUUGAAACCCAUAACC
rnacentral:piRNA from 1 species